UUUAGAUCAGCAUGCUCAUUCGUCAUCAAGAUACCAUCGGAGAGGAUUAUAUACCCAUUCUUCUCAUCCAGGGAUUCAUCAUUCUUGGAUGCACCAUUUCAUCUUUGCAGGCUUGUCGUUCCUCCCCAUGAAAAGAGGAACCCACAGAGCAGCUCAUAGUGGAGUGUGGAGCUCUGAUCUCUAGUGUUCAGCUCCAGUGAAUCAAUAUUUGCUGAUAUUGAAAACUUGACACUGUAAUACUAUUUAAGCAUUCAGAAACUCUCAGGUCUCUUCUGGUAAACCCUCACCCAAACCACAUGCACUCAAUAGCAUUGACUUAUGUUCUCACUAAAGCAUAUGCAAUUUCAAAAAUAUGGAUAAAAAGAGAACAUCUCUGUUCACAAACCUAAAUCCUUAUCUCUGUAGCUUAAACUCAAAUGGCAGUAGGUUUCAGCAAACAAAACUAUACUUUGAACAUAAUAUCAUUGGAAAAAGGACCAUAGCUCCAAAAGAUAUGAAACAUCCAAAAACAGCUAAACUUUCUACUAAGGGUAAAAAGACAAUGGGAACAUAAGUGAUUAAACUUCUGUGAAAAAAUUGAAGGGGACAUUUUAGGAUUAAUUGAAAAUGAUGCUUAUUAUGGCAUCAUGUACAACCAGGAUAAAUCUGGAUGUAGCCCACUUAAGUCAAUGGAAUUACACUGCUGUAAAACUGAGAAGAUUUAGGCAUAGAGUUGUCGAAUCAAAUUAAGGCUUGAGGGGUUUUGUUUUUACAUCUAGAACUUUUAAAAGUCUAUAAUGGACUUGACAGGUCUGUAUUUAGAUGCAGAGACUUUCACUUCUUUAUUGGCUCAGCUAUUGUCUGAGACUGGUUGGUGAGCUAUGUGGAAUAAGUCAAUGAUCUCAUUGUGGGUUCCAGUAGAUCAGUGUUCAUGAUCACAAUAAUUUAUGAACAGUCUCACUGCUGGUAGUCUUAGCAGAGAGACCAGGUGCUAAAUAUGAGGGUGAACUACAAUGCCAGUCCUAGAGUUGGUCCUCACAGAUCAGGGUUGAGGCAUCGAGGCUGAACAAUAUGGGGAAAGGUUGUGCUGCUGCUGUCUGUGCAUUAUCAAUUCCAUAGCAGAUGUCAGCCCCAGGACUGACAACCUGGCACUUUCUUGAGCACUAAAUUCAAAUAAAAUAAGUGGGUACAUAGAGUAUUGCUGCAAUGAUACAACUUCACAGUAUACUAACUCUUUUACCGCCUUCUGAAAAAUAUAAGUGCGUAUGAUUGCAAAUGACUAAAUAUGGGAGUCUUAUUCCCAUAAAUAUUAGGACAGUACAUAGACACUUGGGCUGUGCAUUAAUAUUUUAACACACCAUGUGUCUUGGGUAUAAAUUCAAGCAUAGCACUCCACCUCACAAUCAUGGAGGGAAAUGCUUCCCUUAGGUAACCAGUGGACCCACCACAAGCUGCAUCUUCUCUAACCUUCUCAGAAGUACCUUCAUCACCAGAAAGUGAUUGCUAGAACAUUAUACCAGAAUCAGAGUGACUAGUGUUAUGAUAACUGUUCAACCUCUAAAGUGGUAGUUCUAGAAAAGGCAUAAUAAACACCAAGUUGUAUUGAUAGGUAAUAAGGGAAGUUGUCAGAUAUUGUUCAAUAUUACAUUUCAUGACCAUUUAUUUCAGCGCAACAGAGAUCUGGAGGAAAAGUUUAUAAACAGUAAAGUCAGGGUUUUUUCCCCCUCUGCCUGAUUGCUGCUUGGAAAAACUAAGUUGCCAAGUCUGCCAGUGCAUAGUCUAUUUACUUCAAGGCACACUAUCAUCCUAUACCAAAUGCCAACAGAUUCAUACAGAUGUGGACCUUAAUUGCAAAGUUAAGACCUGGAUCUGGUGUUUUAGUUCAGGCCCACUGCCAUAUAUGUGCUGAAGACCUUAAAACGCUAUUGAUUUGAUGGUUUUCUGGAUCUCUUAGGAGGUACUCAGCACCUUGCAAAACCAGGUUUCAUUCUGAGGCACUUAAAGGUUUUAUCUUUAGAUAAACACUUCAGACUGUACCGCUGUAUAGCAUUCCUAUAGCACAGUGGCAGCAGUGUGGUAAUGCUGUAUGUCACAAAAUAUCCUGUGUUCUAGAAAAUUCAUCCCAAUGUCACGGUUUUGACUUGAUAUUUCCAUUAAAUUAAGUUACCUUGACAAU